rnacentral:rRNA from 1 species
CAGUAGGGAGGAAGGUAGUGUAGUUAACACCUGCAUUAUUGACGUUACCUACAGAAGAAGCACCGGCUAACUCCGUGCCAACAGCCGCGUAAAUACGGAGGGUGCGAGCGUUAAUCGGAAUUACGUGGGACGUAAAGGCGCAUGCAGGCGGCCUGUUAAGUCAGAUGUAGAAACGGCCCGGGGACUUAACCGUCGGAAAUUGCUAUUUAGAAACUGGCAGGCUAGAGUCUGUAGAGGGGGUAGAAUUUCAGGUGUAGCGGUGAAAUGCGUAGAGAUCUGAAGGAAUACCAGUGGCGAAGGCGGCCCCCUGGACAAAGACUGACGCUCAGAUGCGAAAGCGUGGGGAGCAAACAGGAUUAGAUACCUGGUAG